AGCACAGAGGAAAUGAUACAGGCUGUGGAGAAGGCUCCAGAAAUGAGCACAUCAGAGGCUCUGGGGUGGGCUCCACAGCCCUAGGACAGCGGGGUCUGAGUGGUUCUCUCGACUCUAACUCUCCCCUUUCCUUCUUAUGGCCACCCCAUCACUGCUGCUCCUCCGGACACUCUGAUGCUUGCUUCACAGAAUUGGAAGACUCCACCAUUACAAGGCAGCCACCGGCAGAUGUCAGCAAGUCCUUCCUCUGCACCUGCAGAAGAAGCAACAGGAAAGACCAAAGUGGAAGAGGAAGUGAAAACCAGAAAGCCCAAGAAAACCAGGAAGCCCAGGAAGAAAACCCGGUGGAAUGUCCUGAACUGUUGGGACAUUUUUAAUGUAUUUUAGAGACCUCUGAAUAUUCCUCGAACACAGGAAGGGCCCCAAUGUGGGGACAUCAACAUGGCUCAGACUUGAUGUGGAUCGUGAUCAUUUCGGGAACUGUGUUAUUCCAAAAAC
rnacentral:sRNA from 1 species